CCUUUGAUCCAGGCCCCUCUGCUUCUCUUCUACCAUCAUGAUGGCCUUUUCUGUGCCUUCUUAUGAGUUUCUCUGACCUAAAGUUGGUAAUGAGCUGCAAUGAAAGGUAGCCGUAAAGGCUGGGAAGCAAAGAGGAUAAGGCCAUGGUCUAAUGUGUAUAACUCAACUUUCCAGACCCUUUUCUAGUUAGUGGAGGCCACAUAUCUGAGUUGCAGCCAUCAAAAUGUGAGUAAAAGUGAUGGCUGCCACUUCCACUCCUGGCCCAUAGAAGUUUCCCACUGGUGAUCCUACAGAUUCUCUUCUCCUGUCUGCUGGGUGGGUGUUGACACCCAGGGAAAGUAAGCCACUCCUUGAAGGUAACAGAGCAAAAUAGAUGGAAGGAACCUGGACCCUGAAUCACCAAUUGGUGGAAAGCCAUCCUUUGAUCAAGAACAUCCACUUUGUACUCAGUACUAUUCUCAGAGACCACCGAGGGCAGUGGGCAAGAACCCUGGAAACUGGACUUGGAAGGAGCUGGUCCAAGUCCCAGCUCUGCCACUGAAUGGUGUAACUUGUUCACCUCCUUUGACCUCUCUGAACUCAAUGACCUACUUUUAUGGAGGAAAAUGAACAUCUGCUAAACUCACCUAAAAGAACUAAUGUAAAGAUUUGAAAGAUAGUGGAUCUAAGAGCUUCUCUUUUGUUCUUGUAAUUGCUAAAGAAGUGAAUAAAAAUCAGAUGCAAAAAACCAUACAAUUAUCUGCUGGUGGGACACUGAAUAGGUAUAGGCCUUUCGGAAAACCAAAGAUCUUUACAAAAUUCAUUCUCUUUGACCAUUUCUGUGAAUCAUCCUAAGCAAAUAG